rnacentral:rRNA from 1 species
AGGGAUUGCCCUAGUAACGGCGAGUGAAGCGGCAACAGCUCAAAUUUGAAAUCUGGCGCAAGCCCGAGUUGUAAUUUGUAGAGGAUGCUUCUAGGUAGCGACCGGUCUAAGUUCCUUGGAACAGGACGUCAUAGAGGGUGAGAAUCCCGUAUGUGACUGGCCCGCACCUUCUACGUAGCUCCUUCGACGAGUCGAGUUGUUUGGGAAUGCAGCUCUAAAUGGGAGGUAAAUUUCUUCUAAAGCUAAAUACCGGCCAGAGACCGAUAGCGCACAAGUAGAGUGAUCGAAAGAUGAAAAGCACUUUGGAAAGAGAGUUAAAAAGCACGUGAAAUUGUUGAAAGGGAAGCGCUCACAACCAGACUUCUAGGCAGUGUUCCGCCGGUCUUUUGACCGGUCUACUCUCUGUCUCGAGGCCAACAUCAUCUGGGACCGCUGGAUAAGACCUUAGGAAUGUAGCUCCCCUCGGGGAGUGUUAUAGCCUCUGGUGAUGCAGCGAGUCUCGGGUGAGGUCCGCGCUUCGGCAAGGAUGUUGGCGUAAUGGUUGUCAGCGGCCCGUCUUGAAACACGGACCAAGGAGUCUAACAUCUAUGCGAGUGUUCGGGUGUCAAACCCCUACGCGUAAUGAAAGUGAACGGAGGUGGGAAGCGUAAGCUGCACCAUCGACCGAUCCUGAUGUCCUCGGAUGGAUUUGAGUAAGAGCAUAGCUGUUGGGACCCGAAAGAUGGUGAACUAUGCCUGAAUAGGGUGAAGCCAGAGGAAACUCUGGUGGAGGCUCGCAGCGGUUCUGACGUGCAAAUCGAUCGUCAA